GGUGAGAUGGCCGAGCGGUCCAAGGCGCCAGACUAAGGUACUGUCCCAUUCAAAGAUUAUCUGGUCUCUCCGGAGGCGGGAGUUCGAAUCUCCCUCUCAUCA